rnacentral:rRNA from 1 species
UCUAAAUUAGAUUAGUUUAAACUAAAUUAGUAGUAGAUAAAUACUUAAAAUUUAAAAAAUUUGGCGGCAAUUUAAUCUUUUCAGAGGAACCUGUUUUAUAAUCGAUAAACCACGAAAAAUCUUACUUGCUUUUGUUAAUUAACAGUUUGUAUACCAUCAUUAUCAGAUAAUUCUAAAAGGAGAAAUUAUUGUAUUUAAUGUAUUAAAAAAAUUAGAUCAUGGUGCAGUUUAUAGGCAAGAAAAAAUGGGUUACAAUAAAUUAUUUUAUUGCGAAUUAGUGAAGUAAAAUUUCUAUGAAGAAGGAUUUGAUUGUAUUUUUAGUUUAAUAAGCUAAAAAGAUAUAAGUUCUAAAUUGUGU